rnacentral:hammerhead_ribozyme from 1 species
AUCUUGCUGACGAGUCUGAAAUAGGACGAAACAUAUGUUCUAGAU